rnacentral:rRNA from 1 species
UACGAAGGGGGCUAGCGUUGUUCGGAAUUACUGGGCGUAAAGCGCGCGCAGGCGGUUCUUCAAGUCAGUGGUGAAAGCCCGGAGCUCAACUCCGGAAAUGCCAUUGAAACUGUUGAACUUGAGGACGAGAGAGGUGAGUGGAAUUCCCAGUGUAGAGGUGAAAUUCGUAGAUAUUGGGAGGAACACCAGUGGCGAAGGCGGCUCACUGGACCGGAACUGACGCUGAGGCGCGAAAGCGUGGGGAGCAAACAGG